AUUCCCGCGUAUGUACUUGUUAAGCCUUUAAGAAAGAAGUUUAUAACUUAAGGAAUUAUAACAAAGAAGUAACACAUAAUAAGGUUGCCUUAUUUAGUGUGUAUCAAUCGAGUUUCUGACCUAUCAGCUUUUGAUGUUAGGGUAUUGGCCUAACAUGGCUAUGACGGGUAACGGGGAAUUAGAGUUCGAUUCCGGAGAGGGAGCCUGAGAAAUAGCUACCACAUCUAAGGAAGGCAGCAGGCGCGUAAAUUACCCAAUUCUAAAGAAGAGAGGUAGUGACAAGAAAUAACAAUACAAGGCCAUUUCAUGGUUUUGUAAUUGGAAUGAUGGGAAUUUAAAACCUUCCCAAAAUUCAAUUGGAGGGCAAGUCUGGUGCCAGCAGCCGCGGUAAUUCCAGCUCCAAUAGCGUAUAUUAAAAUUGUUGCAGUUAAAACGCUCGUAGUUGAAUUUCAAAGAAUCAAUAUUUUAAGUAAUACUUUUGCUAUAAGAUGCUUAGACAAUACAACGUAUCUGUUCUUUGCAUUCCUUAUGCAAAAUGUGUUCUUAUUAUAAAAAGGAUUCUUUUUAAAAUCUCUUUUGCUAUUUUUUAGUAUUGGAGAUUUUGUUACUUUGAGUAAAUUAGAGUGUUCAAAGCAAACAGUUAAAGCAUUUUACUGCCUUUGAAUACUACAGCAUGGAAUAACAAAAUUGAACAAGUCAGAAUUCUGUUCCUUUUUCCUAUUUUGGCU
rnacentral:rRNA from 1 species